CUACGGAGGGUCCAAGCGUUAUCCGGAAUCAUUGGGUUUAAAGGGUUCGCAGGCGGUUUAAUAAGUCAGUGGUGAAAUCUCGGGGCUCAACCUCGAAACUGCCAUUGGUACUGUUAGACUUGAAUACAGUUGGAGUAGGCGGAAUGUGUAGUGUAGCGGUGAAAUGCUUAGAUAUUACACAGAACACCGAUAGCGAAGGCAGCUUACUAAACUGUGAUUGACGCUCAUGAACGAAAGCGUGGGGAGCGAACAGUAUUAGAAACCCUAGUAGUCC
rnacentral:rRNA from 1 species